rnacentral:rRNA from 1 species
GUCGAGAUAGAAGAACAAGCUGGGAAGCUUGACCAUAGUGGGUGACAGUCCCGUAUUCGAAAUCUCAACAGCGGUACUAAGCGUACGAAAAGUAGGGCGGGACACGUGAAAUCCUGUCUGAAUAUGGGGGGACCAUCCUCCAAGGCUAAAUACUCAUCAUCGACCGAUAGUGAACCAGUACCGUGAGGGAAAGGCGAAAAGAACCCCGGGAGGGGAGUGAAACAGAACCUGAAACCUGAUGCAUACAAACAGUGGGAGCGCCCUAGAGGUGUGACUGCGUACCUUUUGUAUAAUGGGUCAACGACUUACAUUCAGUAGCGAGCUUAACCGAAUAGGGGAGGCGUAGGGAAACCGAGUCUUAAUAGGGCGAUGAGUUGCUGGGUGUAGACCCGAAACCGAGUGAUCUAUCCAUGGCCAGGUUGAAGGUGCCGUAACAGGUACUGGAGGACCGAACCCACGCAUGUUGCAAAAUGCGGGGAUGAGCUGUGGAUAGGGGUGAAAGGCUAAACAAACUUGGAAAUAGCUGGUUCUCUCCGAAAACUAUUUAGGUAGUGCCUCGUGUCUCACCUUCGGGGGUAGAGCACUGUCAUGGUUGGGGGGUCUAUUGCUGAUUACCCCGCCAUAGCAAACUCCGAAU